rnacentral:rRNA from 1 species
AAACCAACAGGGAUUGCCUCAGUAACGGCGAGUGAAGCGGCAAAAGCUCAAAUUUGAAAUCCCCCCGGGGAGUUGUAAUUUGAAGAUUGCGUCUUGGAGGCGACCGUGUCUAUGUUCCUUGGAACAGGACGUCACAGAGGGUGAGAAUCCCGUGCGGCACGGCCCCCGGCUCCUUAUAAGGCGCUCUCGACGAGUCGAGUUGUUUGGGAAUGCAGCUCAAAGUGGGUGGUAAAUUCCAUCUAAAGCUAAAUACAGGCGAGAGACCGAUAGCGAACAAGUACAGUGAUGGAAAGAUGAAAAGCACUUUGAAAAGAGAGUGAAACAGCACGUGAAAUUGUUGAAAGGGAAGGGCAUGCCGUCAGAUUGUCAGUGUGGGUAAGAAGCGGGGUACAAAGACUGUGGAACGUGGCCCUCGGGUGUUAUAGCCGCAGUUCAUGCCCCGUCUCUUUCCGAGGCCUGCUUUGAGGACACCGACGUAAUGACGGUACGCCGCCCGUCUUGAAACACGGACCACACACGGACC